rnacentral:rRNA from 1 species
ACGCACGCUGGCGGCGUGCUUAACACAUGCAAGUCGAACGGAAAGGCCCUGCUUUUGUGGGGUGCUCGAGUGGCGAACGGGUGAGUAACACGUGAGUAACCUGCCCUUGACUUUGGGAUAACUUCAGGAAACUGGGGCUAAUACCGGAUAGGAGCUCCUGCUGCAUGGUGGGGGUUGGAAAGUUUCGGCGGUUGGGGAUGGACUCGCGGCUUAUCAGCUUGUUGGUGGGGUAGUGGCUUACCAAGGCUUUGACGGGUAGCCGGCCUGAGAGGGUGACCGGCCACAUUGGGACUGAGAUACGGCCCAGACUCCUACGGGAGGCAGCAGUGGGGAAUAUUGUACAAUGGGCGGAAGCCUGAUGCAGCAACGCCGCGUGCGGGAUGACGGCCUUCGGGUUGUAAACCGCUUUCGCCUGUGACGAAGCGUGAGUGACGGUAAUGGGUAAAGAAGCACCGGCUAACUACGUG